AAAAUAGAUUAAAUUUGGCUUCGAAUCAAAUAUAGGCUUUGCCCUAUUUUA
rnacentral:tRNA from 1 species